GGAGGGAGUGCCCCAGGCCAGGAUCUGGAGUUGAUGGCUGUGCUGUGCUGAUGCCCCACGCCCACGGCCAUGGCGUCCCGAUACAAACCCAAGAGAGGGGUGAGCUCCAGAGGGCACCCUAUGGGGACUGGCCGGGCCGAACUCCAGAGGCCACCUCCUGGGCAGAGGGUCAUGAGCGUCCUUAGCGUUUCCUUCCUUUCAGCCACGCAUUUUUCUGUUGGAAAUUGUGAUGGAGAACCAGAGCUUGGAGCUCGGAGCAGGCUCCCGGCUCAGACAGCACCAGGCGGCCUGGCAGCCUCAUUCCCUCAUCUUGCUCUACACGGACCUGGGAAGUUCUAGGAUGGGACCUGCUUCUCCCAAGGACGCCAACUCAAGGGUCCCCCUGAGAAGCUGUGCUGGGCACCCCGCUUGGCCCUGGUCAGGAGGAGCUCGACCCUGAACCCUGUACUUUAGAUCCCUCAGGGCUGAGCUGUCCUGACUUCACCGCCCAGGCCCAGAGAGGCCUCUCUCUACCUCCUGCAGAGGCCUCGGAAUGCCCUGGAGGCCUGCGUGAGGAGCUGCGGGCGGUGGAGAAGCUGCUGCGGGUGGUGGAGAAGCUGCUGCGGGCGGUGGAUAAGCUGCUGCGGGUGGAGAAGCUGCUGCGGGCGGUGGAGAAGCUGCUGCGGGUGGAGAAGCUGCUGCGGGCGGUGGAGAAGCUGCUGUGGGUGGUGGAGAAGCUGCUGUGGGUGGUGGAGAAGCUGCUGCAGCGGGUUCUGCAAGGCAGCCUGGAACGGGGAGUGAGUGGUUAGGGCAUCAGAAGGACUAAGACCAGCUGCAGAAAUAGAACUAAUGGAAUUGAACGGAACCAGACCUAGACAUGACACUGAGGCAGGUGAGGUGAAUGUGGAUUUAUGGAGCUGCACUCGGUGGGCGAGCACUGCCUGAGGAGCCAGCGGAGAGCCUUCCUGCCCCAGGUGUGUCCCCGAGAUGGUGAAUUCUGUGACUUCGCCAUCACUGUGACAGAGCCACACGGUGCCCAGGUGACCAGCAAAAUAUUACUUCCAGGCUUGCCUGUGGAGUGGACAGGGUGAAGCCGACACCUUCCCCGGCCUUCAGAGUUGGACUGGAAUCCACACCACUGACCCCGGCUUUCAGGCCUCUGAAGGACACCCCCAGCUCUCCCGGGUCUCCAGCUCGCGGACGGCGGAGGAUAGAACUUCUCCGGCUCCCUGACUUAUAAACAGCUUCCUCGUCACGUCAUUCUCUGUGCGUUGCUCUUGGUUCUGUUUCUCGGGAGAACCUUGACUGCCCCCGCCGCAGCCUCCACCCGCCCACAAAACGGGCCCCAUCUCUCCUCUGCUUCCAGCAUUUCCUCACCGCAUCUGCCUCUCUUCAAGAAAGGCUCCCAACUCCCGCCUCCUCACGGCCAUCCUUCCCUCUCCCCAGACACCCUCUGACCUGGCCCCUCCCACGGCAGGCUACGCCUCUUCCUGGAGCUCCCAGUGUCUGUGUAGUCGUGUCCUUAGCCCAGAAUGCCGGCCCCACGCACCCACCGUGGGGAGCCCCCCAGACUUGCACAGGGUCCCGCCUGGCUCUGCAGCCAGCUUGUUCUUCCAGGCUCUGAACUGGAAUGCCUGCUGAGCCCCGUUCAUCUACAGGCCGCAUACAGGCGUUGCCACCACGGUGAGUGCACGGUCACUCCCCAUCCACAGCCUGGCAUGGGGCCGGGGCAUCUCAGAGCCUGGAUCCCCCAGCGGGGCCUGGACACAGCGUUCGCAGGAGGCCUUAGGGAGAAUACGGACUUUUACUCUUGCGAAGUCAUGUGUUGAGAAAACAGUUCACGUUGUGAAGCUAGAAGUGGCUCCCUGGAAGCCCGUCCGGGGAGCCUGGUGUCUUCGGCGUUCUGGGAUUGGGUUGGUUUCUCGGCCUCUGCGGCUCCCAGGCUGCUUUGCCUUCUCUGCAGGGGGUGCCUGGGAGGCUCUGGGGGACCAGGGACGCCUCGGUCAGCUGCUCCACCCUCACGGCUUCUGCACUUGGUUCCACACCAGGCUUGAGGAUUCCUGGGCAGAAAGGAGCCCAGCCUGUGAGGAGCUGCAGAGCCUCAGGCUCCCCCGCCUCGCCCUCGUCACCCUUGGGGUCUCCCAUGUGGCUUUCAGGGGAGGGUGACCCCGUCAGAAGCUCACGUUGCUCCGGAAAGGCCUGGAUGAGCUGGUGUUCCGCACUCACACUAUUGGACGCCAAGCCCAGCAAGCAAGGAUACCGCCCGUAAUGAGAGUCCCCACCGAUGCCAGGGCCAGGGAGGGAACUGGGCAGAGGGCACAGCCUAGUGCCUUGGAGGACCGGAUUAAAGGCCUCUUUCUAUAGGAUCUCACUCCAUCUUUAGCCCCUAACAGGGAAUCUGCUGGGAGAAGCUCUCUUAGCAAAAUCCCUCCUGAGUCCACGUCUCCUCUCCUAACACAUAGAGCCGUGUAAUUUGGAACUUCAUUUAUUUCAACCAAUUUAUGUUCCUUCUCCAUCUAGUGCUGUGAAAUUAACAGGAAAAAGUUACAAAUUGCUGGAGGACAGAGACCUCUAACCGUGGGCGCGCUGGCUUAUGAGGGUUUGAUAGGCUGACGACAUUAAAAAUAGAAGAGACAAGGCUCUAGGUGGACCAGGAGGCUUCAAAAUUUAAUGAGCUUCAGGCCAGACCCAGCAGUCAGAGGAGAGGACAGGGGCUGGCUGGGACCGUGAGAGCCCGGCCGUCCGUCUGGAGCAGGCCACACCUGCUGGUCCCCAGGCCCUCUGGGCUGUCCUGCUGUCCAUGACAGACCCCACCCCUCCCGUCACCCCGCGUGAUGCCUGGAGCUAGGACACACUCGCCCGCGUUCAUCUUAGUGCCUUAUGGAGUCCCUGGCAUGUGCUGGGGAGAUGACAUUUGUGUUUUAUAAUUAAUCAAUUAAUGAAAUACCUGAAAAAUUCAUAGAAAUAAGUCAGUGGAGCUGUUAAGGAAGCACUAAAAUUCCUUACAAAAGCCCCAAGAGAGCAUGUUUAAGGGGACUUUGGUCUACCAUGGAGACCCUGCCCUCUGGGUGCAGAAGGACCACCAGAGCCCUGGGCAUGUGGCCUUCCUCUUGGGGUCUCACACAGCCUGCGCCGUGGAACUGUGGCUGCUAGGAGGGUGCCUGGGAGGACAGAGACUCCCUGCACCCUGGCUGCUGUGCUGUGCAGGGCCCAUCCCAGGACGGUCCAGCCAGGAUGCCUUGGUCGGCCGCUCCACCUUCAGGGCAAGCUUGUGGGGCGGCUCAGGAUGGGCAGCAACGCGAAAGACCCUGCUGGCGCUGAGCUGAGAUCCUGGUUGUCCUGCUGAAGUCACUUCUGCAGUUAAAGGUCUCAGGGGCUCCCCCAGCCACAGACUUGAUGCCUUCCUCCUGGCCAGCAGCCAAGGUCGUCGCAGCGCAGCCCGCCUGCUCCCCCAUCUCCCCUCUCCAUCUUGCCUUCUUGCAGACCAGCAGCCGGAACCACUGGACGCUCCCUGUGUGUCCAUGAGGCUGUGUCUUCUUGCCUCUCCUCCAUCCUUGCUUCUGUCUGGAAUGUCCUCAUUGCCUUGCCCCUUAGCCCAGCUGGCUGGGUGCCAGGACACCUCCCGGCCUUCCCCCUGACAUUCCGGGCACAGCUGCCCCAUGGUGCCAUCUGCGCCAGGCAGUCACUGUUCCUGUUCAGCCUUCUCCUGCCUCUGGCUUGGACUCCGGCUUGCGCCGCCCCAUCAGCUCUCCUGGGUCCCUAGCUUGCCUAUUGCGGAUCUGGGGACUUCUCAGCCUUCAUAAUUUCAGGAGCCAAUUCCUUCUAAUAAAUUGCUUAUAGACCUAAAUCUACAUCAUCUAUGUUUCCUGUUGGCUCUGUUUCUCUGGAGAACAUUGAGUGCUAUGCAGUGUUGUGAGCUGUUGCCUGGGCAUCUAGGGAGAGAUGGUGGGAGGCGGGCAGGCACCUGAGUCGGAUCCCAUGGGAGAUGCCAGCUGGAGACAUGGGGAGGGGUGCGGCUCAGUGGGAAUUGGAAGAGGAGCGUGCUGGGGCUUGCUGACGUCAUUCAGGGAGGGAACCUGGCUGGAGGAGAAUGCCCACCUGACUCCACAGCCCUAGAGCUGGGCAAGGUGGAGGCAGAGAGCCUGAGGGCUGUUCACAGAGUGCUCUUUCCCUGCCAGGCACAGCUCGAGUGAAUUGCAGGUGCCCGCAGGUGAAUCAGCAGACAUAGCUCCGUGCUGAUCUACGCCCAUCAGAUUGGUGAGAGCUCAGGUUCAGGGAAGCCCAGGGACCCACCGAGGGUUCCAGGGCCCCCCGGAGCUGGCUGGCACCUGGAGCGUGUUAAUAUUUGUCAUGUAAUUGGAUUCACUUGCCAAUGGUAGAGACCAUGCUUAGAAAUUUAGAAUGCUGACGCUAGAGAGGCCCUUCCACCUGGCUGGCCCACCCUUGCCUUGGGGCCCCGGCUACCUGUUCUUGGAUGUGUUCAGGCCUGACCCAGGGAGCUAGCCCCACUGUUCCACCCUUGCUCAUAUCCUGGGCUUCUUUCUGGUUCUUUGGAACCUGGACUUUAGCGUCUCUACCUGUUUCCACCCUGCAGCCGCAGUCCCAGCCCUGCUCCCUGCCUCUCGCCUCUGUCUGCACCAAGGCCUUCCCCCCAUGCACUCCCAGGGUCCACAGCUCCAAGUUUCACUUUGGGGGCAAGAGGGCUUGAGCCUGCAGCUCUGCCUUCAUCGAAGUCCCAUGGAUUGGUUCUGCUUCCUGUGUGCUUCCCCCAGCGUAGGCAAGGGUGUCCUGCCACAAAGGGAGCUGGGAACCAAGUGGACAUGGAGAAGGGUGAGUGAUGCUCAUCCACUUGGAGUUCAGACAAAGCCAGCCCCUGUACAUUGAUUCAGCCAUGUUUGCCAAACGACAUUGACUCUUCAAGUUCUUUUCUUUGGAAAAACAUCAUCAUGGCUGAGAACAACUCACCCUGGAGUACACUGCCCUACCUGUUCAGACCUCGUUCACAGAGGCCACUUUCCUGUCCCCAGAAGGAGCCCAACACAGGCAUUCUGGGUCUUAUAUCUUGGGGGUUGGAUCCAAGGACUUUACGGAUAGGACACCACUGAGUAACCAAGCGAGGAUGCUCAGGUGGUCCCAUGCCAUCACCCUCACACCAUAUUUGUAUUUUUAAACUUUUAUGUUAGGGUUAAAAAACAUUUAUGUACCAUCAUUAGAGUGCUACAUUAUUCUGUGUUUGUAUGUAUAGUUACUUUGACCAGUGAGAUUUAUGCUUUUAUAUGUGUUCACAUUGCCAUUUAGUGUAUUUUUAUUUCAGUUUGAAGAACUUACUUAAACACUUUGUGUAAGGCAUGCUUAGUGGUGAUAAUCUGCUUCAGUCUUGUUUGUUUGUUUGGUCUCAGAAAGUCUUUAUCUCUCCAUUAAAAAAGAACUAAAAGGCAAUGUUGCUGAGUAUCGUUUUCUUAGUUGGCAGGGUUUUUGAAUUCUUUCAAUACUUUUAAUAUAUCAUCACACUUUCUCUUGGCUUUUAAAGUUUCUGCUAAGAAAUUUUCUGGAGGUCUUAAGGGGGUUCUCCUAAUGUGAGGAAUCACUUUUCUCUUACUGCCUUUAAAUUCUCUCUUUGUGACAAUUUGAUUGUAGUGAGUCCAGGUGUGUCUUCUUUGGUUUGAUCCAAUUUAGAAACUUCUGAGUUUUGUAAAUCUGGAUGCCCAUUUUCCUCCCAAGAUUUGUGAAAUUUCCAGCUAGUAUUAUUUAAAUAAAUUUUUAGCUUCUUUCUUUUUCUCUUCUCCUUUUGGAACUUCAUUAAUGUGUGUAUUGGUUUUCUUCAUAAAUCCCUUAGGGUUUUGUCAUGCUUUUUCAAUCUUUUAAAAAACCUUUUUCUCCUCUGAUUGGAUAAUUUGAAAUAACGAGUCUUUGAAUGUGCAGAUUCCUUCUCCUCCUCCUCCUCCUCUUCUUCUACUUCUUCCUCUUGCAUGAUCAAAUAUGCUGAUGAAGCUCUCUAUUGAAUUUUUCAUUUCAUUCAUUUUAUUAAUCUCUCCUAGUUUCAACUUGACCCUCAAGAAGAUGGCCAUGGUGGGCCUCACUAAUUCCUCUUGAAAAAAUCCAGCACAACUGUCUGGAACCCAUCUCAAGAAGCUAUCUGUAUCCAUAACCUGCCAAGGCAGAGAGGGCGAUUCCCAGGGAGGUGGUGUCACCUUUGCCUGUGAAGCAGCAUACAGAAGGCCCUCCUUCUGUAGAACAGGCCUGAUGGGGAGGACAGGACAUGGGGUGGAACCUCUUGCAUUGACUCUGGAUUUACCACAAACUCACGAGCCCCCAGGGGCCAGCAUCUCCUUGAUCCAGCUGUUUCCUCCAGGUUUGUCUCUAACCAUCUGCUUGUCAGUCUGGGUUCCUCUGUGUCUAGGUGCUCUGCACUGGGCUUCUUCUGGUAUGAGUUUCCUCAUGAGAAGGCACGUCUCUACCACGCUGGCUUUUCUCAGCUGGCUGCUCAUUCAGAUAUGCCUUCGAAUGGGUGACCUUUGAUGGUUUCUCAUGCACUGUCUUGCAUGCAGGGGAAGCCUCUCGUCACAGCAGGCUUUUUCCCCUGGAGUGUUUUCCCCUCUCUGUAUUAGAGGAGACCACCACUCCCCAGGACUGAUUUUCAUCAAGUUUCAUAUUCAGUCUCCAUGACAUGAUGAUUAAACUGGAUUUCUGCUCCUCCUGGUGCUGUAACACAGUGGAUUUUCUUUCCAGGUAUCCCCCAUUCCAGAAGUCUGACACAGAAGCUGCCUUUGGCAAUACCUCUACCAGGGAAGUGGCAGAAAAGGCCAUGGUUGCUGUGAUGGCCAAUGCCCUGCAGAGUGGGGAUAGCCAUCAGCACAGCUGUUCAUGUUGGUGUUAUUUUAUUAACACCUUAUUCCACCACCUUUCUGUGUAGGAAGCUGGAACCAGUUUAAUACAUGAGACUGUGAGGACAAGGAGGCUGAGAGAAACAGAAUUUUUUCAAGAGGAAUUAAUGAGGCCCACCAUGGUCAUCUUCUUGAGGGUCAGGUUGAAACUAGGAGGGAUGAAUUCUCAGUAUGUGAGUCCAGAACCCAGAGCAGACCUUGCACAGCCAUGGCUGAGUGAGCUCCUAGGAGCAAAAGUGGACAUCAAACUCUGUCUCUGUUGUUAACUCCAGCCACCAGGUGCUGUCUAAGCUCGCAAGACAAAGUGGUCUGCGAAGGCACGGAGACUGCUCCAUGGCCUAUAGCCCUGGAUGACUUUGUGCCCUGUUUUCUCUGCAGGAGAGGAAGUGGUACUCAAAGGUCAGAACCGAGACCAGGCGAUGUUGAAAUGUAUGGGGAUGUAUCCGGGAGCUCAGGGACCAUCUGCCUCUUAUGUGUGCAAGCCUGGGCCACAGAUACCCUAGACAGGAAAACACGCCUGUGGACAGCAGCCACAGUGGCCGCAGCCCCUCCCUCGUGCCUCAGUGCUCCCUAAGGCUCCGGAAGCUUGGCCCGGUCCCUGAGAGAAGACCAGGAAUGAGUAAAGCUGACGUUUCCAUCACUGAGUCUGUCGGAGGCUGGAGUCAAAGAGGAGCUGAUGUACAGGCAGCGGUGCCACAGCUUGACACUCCUGAGCCUGUGACCCAACUUUGGGCUGUGCCGUCAUCUCGGCUGCUGAGUGUUCAGCUCAAGCUGACAAGACAGGCCGUGAAGAGCAGUGGGUCCUGCUGGCAGUGAGGCUGCGUGGGAGAGGCGCUGGGAGCGGGUGAACAUGGAGAACCAGAUUCCCAGAGCCCAGAACCUCCGAGCAUCGUCCAAGACGCAUGCCUCAAACUCUGGUCCUGGGCAUCCGGUUGGAUUUCGGAGGAGCCUGUGGAGGGCAGAGGUCACAGCACCUGAGUUCGGCAGUGUGACCCUGGCACCGGGGAGGCGCCUCGUCCGCCCCUGCCCUAAUAUCUGCAAUGUCCUGAUGGAGUCUUGCAGAAUUAGCGAUGUCUAAGAGUUACAGGUGGGGAAUUCACCCUGCCCCGAGCUCUGGGAGAGGAAGCCCGGAGCCAGCCUCGCAGCCUGAGACAGAACAUGAUGGAGAGGGCAAAAUAGCCCCUGGAUCACCCAACGUUAGCUCAGAUCAUCCACAAUAAAAGCAAACAAACAAAAAGCAAAAGCUCCUGCGAAGUGUCUACAUGUCCACGUAGCAGAAUUGGGUCUAUAAAUUACGUACGGUGAUUCCACGCAACCUCGAAAAAGAAUGAGAUAAGGAAUCAUCCAUAAGAU
rnacentral:lncRNA from 1 species